UACAGAGGGUGCAAGCGUUGUUCGGAAUUACUGGGCGUAAAGAGCGCGUAGGCGGCUCGAUAAGUCAGACGUGAAAGCCCUAGGCUUAACCUAGGAGUAGCGUAUGAUACUGUCGGGCUAGAGGCCUUGAGAGGAGUGAGGAAUUCCUAGUGUAGAGGUGAAAUUCGUAGAUAUUAGGAAGAAUACCAGUGGCGAAGGCGACACUCUGGCAAGGAACUGACGCUGAGGCGCGAAAGCGUGGGGAGCAAACAGG
rnacentral:rRNA from 1 species